GGAAACUUUCACUUGGAACACGGACGUCGAGGAAACACCCUUUGAACCUUCAGCAAAGACUCAACACCCUUGAAGAUCUUGUCACACAGAAUGAAGCCAAUCUCAAAAAAGGAGGGA
rnacentral:ribozyme from 1 species